UGGGAACAACAAUCACUUAAUCAUCUUGUAAAAAUAGAGUUAACAUAAUCAACCAAAGAGAAUUAUCAGUAAUUUACAAAACUAUAACCGAAAUGGAUACACAAUCGAAACAUAUAUGUAAUCAAAGCUCACAAUACAGUGCAAAAUAGAACGUGUAAUUAUCAUAAUUACAGGAUCAUUACCAUGUCAUUAAAAAUCCAACAUAUAACUCAAAACAAAACUUCGACAUACAAGCAUUCGUGAUCGAAACACAUAAUGUAGCCGAUAUGAAAAGUAAUCAAAUUGAAACCGAAAUAGAUAUUAUAUAGUGCAAAGGAAAAAUAG
rnacentral:lncRNA from 1 species